rnacentral:lncRNA from 1 species
ACUAGUUGGAGCACCCCUGCAGGGUUAAAUCUUUCGGAAAGCCGUGCCCGCGGUUAUGUGGCAACGUGAAAGCUUUGUUUAACACUGGUUCUAGAUAACUUGAAGUUAACUUAAUUAAAACUUGCCAACUGUGUGCGUAACCGUGACUGUCUCUUUCGUGAGUUCCUUCUCCGAUCGAGGACACGGUGGGGUUAUGUCUGACGUAGAUAGGUGUU